UACAGAGGGUGCGAGCGUUACUCGGAAUUACUGGGCGUAAAGCGUGCGUAGACGGUUAUUUAAGUCGGGUGUGAAAGCCCCGGGCUCAACCUGGGAAUUGCAUUCGAGACUGAAUAGCUAGGGUACGGUAGAGGGAAGUGGAAUUUCCGGUGUAGCGGUGAAAUGCGUAGAUAUCGGAAGGAACAUCAGUGGCGAAGGCGACUUUCUGGACAAAUACUGACACUGAGGUACGAAAGCAUGGGGAGCAAACAGG
rnacentral:rRNA from 1 species